UACGGGGGGGGCAAGCGUUGUUCGGAAUUACUGGGCGUAAAGGGUUCGUAGGUGGCUGGCUAAGUCAGACGUGAAAUCCCUCAGCUUAACUGGGGAACUGCGUCUGAGACUGGUCGGCUCGAGUGCAGGAGAGGAACGCGGAAUUCCAGGUGUAGCGGUGAAAUGCGUAGAUAUCUGGAGGAACACCGGUGGCGAAGGCGGCGUUCUGGACUGCAACUGACACUGAGGAACGAAAGCCAGGGGAGCAAACGGG
rnacentral:rRNA from 1 species